rnacentral:rRNA from 1 species
UACAGAGGUGGCAAGCGUUGUUCGGAAUUACUGGGCGUAAAGGGCUCGUAGGCGGCCAACUAAGUCGGAUGUGAAAUCCCCAGGCUCAACUUGGGAACUGCAUCCGAUACUGGAUGGCUUGAAUUCGGGAGAGGGAUGCAGAAUUCCAGGUGUAGCGGUGAAAUGCGUAGAUAUCUGGAGGAAUACCGGUGGCGAAGGCGAGUCCCUGGACAACUCCUGACACUGAGGCACGAAAGCUAGGGGAGCAAACAGG